AAUUAUAAAAUGCAUUAUUUUAUACAUAAAUAGUGAGUAGUAUAUCCACGCAUGACAAAAUAAAAAAAUUUGUAAACGUUAAGUUUACGGUAUUUUUCAAUACCCAUAUAAAGAGAUAAUAUUUUCAACUUUUAAAUAAAAAGAAUUUGGACACCAUUCUUAUGGAUUUAUAACAGUAAAACAAUUUUGGGUCUACUAUGUGGAAGUGCACUUCAUAGAGAUGACUGCAGAAGAUACAACAGAAAUAAUUAAUGAAAAAAAUUGUGUUCCAGAUUUAAUAAUAUCAAAACCUUAAACCGAACAACAGCGUGUUUCUCUAG